ensembl:rRNA 5S_rRNA 5S ribosomal RNA
GCCAGCAGCCAUAUUACUCUGCAACUCACAACUGAUAACCCACUGAACCUAAGCAGGUGUGAGCCUGGUCAGUACCUGGAUGGGAGACCUCCUGGGAAAAACUAAGGCUGCUGCUGGAA